GUUGGGUAGAGAAAAAUGUGAGAUUUAGCGUUCGCGAAUCCGAUGCAAAAUUUCUCGCCCAUGUCCUGACUUUUUCGUACAUACACAUGAUUUGUGUCGGGUCCAACCGUCCUCCACAUACUAGUGGAGUUAGCGUCGCAAUACAACCGCCACUAACUUCCCCAUGUAGGACGCCAACAUGGUUGGUGAUCUUCAUGUGAGCAAUAAAGGAAGAUUAGGCCCAAUGGUUGAGUUUGGCAAUUCUUCAUCAACUCAAUUUUGAUUUUUGACCGGUAUGAAGCGAACACGAUCCCAAACAAAACCCUAUUCAAAUCCAAACGAUUCACUUUCCUCUUCCAAAAUCUCCUUCCGCGCGCGAAAAAUCCGACGAACCCCCCUCAUCACCAACAAAAACCCUAACCCAGAACCAGAGACUUCAUCAAAACCCUCUCCCACCACCAUCUCAAAGCCGUUAACCGCCACCGGCGAAAUCGAAGCCGCCCUCAACCACCUCCGCGCCGCCGAUCCCCUCUUAGCCAACUGCAUCGACUCUCUCCCUCCUCCUCACUUCUCAAACGACGUCGUCGUCACCCCCUUCUUCUCCCUCACGAAGAGCAUCAUCUCCCAGCAACUCUCCAACAAAGCAGCCUCCGCCAUCGAAUCCCGCUUCGUCUCCCUCUGCGGCGGCCGCGAUUCGGUUCUCCCCGACGUCGUUUUGUCCUUGUCUCCCGUUCAGCUCCGGCAGGUUGGAAUCUCCGGACCCAAAGCGACUUACCUCCACGACCUCGCCACCAAGUACAUCGAUGGGAUUCUCUCGGAUUCUACUAUCCUGCAAAUGGACGAUGAGACGCUGCACGAGAAGCUUACCUUGGUUAAGGGAAUUGGGCCUUGGUCUGUUCACAUGUUCAUGAUUUUCACGCUUCACCGCCCUGAUGUUCUUCCUGUUGGGGACCUCGUUGUUCGGAGAGGAGUGGAGCGAUUGUAUGGACUUAAGGCAUUGCCUGCUCCUUCCCUGAUGGAACGAUUGUGCCAGAAAUGGAAGCCUUAUAGCUCUGUUGCCUCUUGCUACAUGUAUAAGUUUAUGGAUGCUAAAGGGGUGUUGCCAUUGCCAGCCACCACUAUCACAGAUCAUCAACAGAUGGGUGGUGGGGAGUGAUCCUCUUACUGUGACAAAUAAAGGGACGGAUGUAGAUAAGAAUUCUCCUCAGAUGGCAAGUGAGAUCUUCUCUAUUCCCAUUGCUGUCCUAUGUCAAGAUUGUAAUGGUGGGAUAGAGAUUCAGACACAUUUUGAGGACAUAAGAUUUCAACGCAGAGGGAUACAUGGAGGAUUAAAGUAAGAGUCAUUCGAGUAUGGGAGAUGUGCCCAGUUUCUGAACCAUCAAAACCAUAUGCAAUGAGUUUGCAGUAGAAAUAGUGCAGCCAAGCAUAUGACAAGAUAAACUGUCUACCCUUUUAAUUUUCAGCACUGGGGCUUAUACCAGUUUUAUAAUUUUCUUUCAAUUUGAAUGUAUUGAUUGUGUUUUAUUCAAGAUUGCAUUUUUGUUCACUAGCAACUACGAGACAGGACUGUCAAAAAAAAAAUACUACGAGACAGUGUCCUCUUAUGGUGAACCCAGGAGUUUAUGUCGAGGCUAGGAACAGGAGAAAUAUCAUAUUGAACCGAAAAAUUUGCAAAAGCUGAAGUAUUUCAAACUUCAAACCCACCAUGAUUACUGACAUACGACAACGUCAGUAUGAGAAGAUUGGAAUCGGAAGCAGUUACUUUUUUAGACUUGAUGGUGGUAGCAUGGUUAGUACCUAAGUAGAGUAAUAUGUAAAUUUUAGAUUUUGAAAGUUUGAAGUCUAAGAUUUUUGUUUUUCGUUUGUGGGGGAUGUGUCCUAUUGGUGAUUCCUCAAAACUAUGCUAUGCAUCUCGUCCUAAAUGAUGCAGAGGUUAUAUUUUUGGCAUGUUAUUGUUUUAUAGUUUUCUGUCCUACAAUUACUACAUUCAUUUACAGGGUGUGAAAAUUGAGGCUUCCAUCAAGAAAAAUCACAUUAGUAAAUACGUAAGUGACUUGGCUGAAAAUUGAUUUGGAUCUUUUUUUUUCCUUGCUGCAUUUUCACAUGCUGAAAUACAUGGGAGUACAGGAAAAUAACGAGAGAAGGUAUUCUCUUCAAUGUGUUUAUUUAGUUGGAAUUGCCUAUAAAUACUGCAAGAAUUGUUUUGUUAAUUCUCAUUCCAUCUUGCAUUGCACUAGAAUUUAAUCAUUCCUGUCUCUCAUAUUCCAUCCUUUCAUUUGUUUGUCAUGAUUUAUAUGAUUUAUUAGAACUGAAACAAAAUCAAUGGCAUCAAGGGGGUUGGGAUUGGUGGUCUAGCUUGCUCAUUCCCCCCCCCCCCCCCUCCCCCUUUUGGCUGCUACAUUUGAUGCAGUUGGCAGUAUUGGCUGGGAGUUUUAUUUUUCCUUUCUUAGGCUUGUGUUUCUCUGGCCUCUUGAAGGAGAACACAGGUACAAUAAAUAGGUAAUAUGUAGUGUGGUAUAUGUAUGUAAAACUAUAAAGAGCUAUGAUAUAUCGAGGUCCUUGAUGAUCCUAAUUAUUUACCGGUCAUUUUCGUGAGUAGUGUGUCAUUGAAUAAUAUACAAAUAAAGGACUACUAUUUCUCAUAGUUGAACUCAAUAUAUAUCUUGAAAAUUCAAUUGCAGAAUAAAUUACACAUAUAGUUUUUAAUUUGAAUUUAGUGUCGUAUAAGGUUGUAUUGUUGUUCAUAUAUUUAUUUGAUUUGAUUUGAAGCUAUGCAACAAAAAUAAGUUGUUGAAUUCAGACUAUCCUUUGUUUUAUUAUUUGGUCUAGAAGGUGUCUUACUUCACUGUUGUGCCUAACUCUGGAUCAUAAUGAUCAAAAUUAUAACAAGUUGGUUUUCGAGUUGAAAGCUAAAAUGUCACAAUCCAUAUUUGAAUGGAUACCAUAGUUUGGUGUGUUGGUUCUAUGGAUUUUGAGCCAUAAUUUUUUUGUAGGUGUUAAUCUUUCAAAUGUGACUGCAGGCAGGUCGUUCUUUAGAUAGCUAAUUUUUUGCUCCUUGACUAUGAGGUGUCUACGAGGGAAACACAUUACAACACCUUGAGAGAGCAAACUCCAUAAUAUUGGGAUAGUGUAGGCAUACUUAAUUAUUUAAGUUUCAGAUUCUAGAAUUCGGUAUUGUUUUAAUAUGAAAGUAAUACUUAGGAUCUAUCAAGGAGCUCGCUCUGAUAUUGUACACAGAUAUUCUCACUUCAAGUUAGGUUUUUCAGCUACUUAUGUGGCGGCAUGGUUGAGUUACUAGGAUAUUGGAAUUGUUGUUGGGCUUGUGAGAAUGCAUUUUCAUGAUUGUUUAUUAUAGCAUUUAUUUCUUAUCA